rnacentral:rRNA from 1 species
UACGGAAGGCAGCAGUGGGGAAUAUUGCACAAUGGGCGCAAGCCUGAUGCAGCCAUGCCGCGUGUAUGAAGAAGGCCUUCGGGUUGUAAAGUACUUUCAGCGGGGAGGAAGGCGGUGAAGUUAAUAGCUUCACCGAUUGACGUUACCCGCAGAAGAAGCACCGGCUAACUCCGUGCCAGCAGCCGCGGUAAUACGGAGGGUGCAAGCGUUAAUCGGAAUUACUGGGCGUAAAGCGCACGCAGGCGGUCUGUCAAGUCGGAUGUGAAAUCCCCCGGGCUUAACCUGGGAACUGCAUUCGAAACUGGCAGGCUAGAGUCUUGUAGAGGGGGUGAAUUCCAGGUGUAGCGGUGAAAUGCGUAGAGAUCUGGAGGAAUCCGGUGGCGAAGGCGGCCCCUGGGACAAAGCUGACGCUCAGGUGCGAAAGCGUGGGGAGCAAACGAGGGAUUAGGAUACC